rnacentral:rRNA from 1 species
UACGUAGGGGGCUAGCGUUGUCCGGAUUUAUUGGGCGUAAAGAGCGUGUAGGCGGCCAUGUAGGUCCGGUGUGAAAACUCGAGGCUUAACCUCGAGAUGUCAUCGGAAACCAUUUGGCUAGAGUCCGGAAGAGGAGAGUGGGAAUUCCUGGUGUAGCGGUGAAAUGCGCAGAUAUCAGGAGGAACACCCGUAGCGAAGGCGGCACUCCUGGGCCGAUACUGACACUGAGGAGCGAAAGCGUGGGGAGCGAACAGG